rnacentral:rRNA from 1 species
AACGUAGGACACAAGCGUUAUCCGGAGUUACUGGGCGUAAAGGGCGCGUAGGCGGCACGGCAAGUCAGGAGUGAAAGGCCUGGGCUCAACCGAGGAACUGCUUUUGAGACUGCCGAGCUAGAGUGCAGAAGGGGCAACUGGAAUUCCCAGUGUAGCGGUGAAAUGCGUAGAUAUUGGGAAGAACACCUGAGGCGAAGGCGGGUUGCUGGGCUGACACUGACGCUGAGGCGCGAAAGCCAGGGGAGCAAACGGG